rnacentral:rRNA from 1 species
GAUGAACGCUGGCGGCGUGCCUAAUACAUGCAAGUCGAGCGAACAGACGAGGAGCUUGCUCCUUUGACGUUAGCGGCGGACGGGUGAGUAACACGUGGAUAACCUACCUAUAAGACUGGGAUAACUUCGGGAAACCGGAGCUAAUACCUGAUAACAUGUUGAACCGCAUGGUUCAACAGUGAAAGACGGUCUUGCUGUCACUUCUAGAUGGAUCCGCGCCGCAUUAGCUAGUUGGUAAGGUAACGGCUUACCAAGGCAACGAUGCGUAGCCGACCUGAGAGGGUGAUCGCACACACUAGAACGAACACGCGGUCCAGACUCCUACGGGAGGCAACAAUAGAGAAUCUUCCGCGAUGGGAGAGAGCCUGACGGAGCAACGCCGCGUGAGUGAAGAAGGUCUUCGGAUCGUAAAACGCUGUUAUUAGGAAAGAACAAAUGUGUAAGUAACUAUGCACGUCUUGACGGUACCUAAUCAGGAAGCCACGGCUAACUACGUG